rnacentral:rRNA from 1 species
CCUACGGGUGGCAGCAGUGGGGGAUAUUGCACAAUGGGGGAAACCCUGAUGCAGCAACGCCGCGUGUGGGAAGAAGGUUUUCGGAUUGUAAACCACUGUUCUUGGUGAAGAUAAUGAAGGUAACCAAGGAAAAAGCCCCGGCUAACCACGGGCCAGCAGCCGCGGUAAUACGUAGGGAGCAAGCGUUAUUCGGAUUUACUGGGUGUAAAGGGUGCGUUGGCGGGCUUGCAAGUCAGACGUGAAAACCACAGGCUCAACCCGUGGACUGCGUUGGAAACUGUGGAGCUUGAGUGAAGUAGAGGUAAGCGGAAUUCCCGGUGUAGCGGUGAAAUGCGUAGAGAUCGGGAGGAACACCAGUGGCGAAGGCGGCCUACUGGACUUUAACUGACGCUGAGGCACGAAAGCAUGGGUAGCAAACAGGAUUAGAUACCCCUGUAGUC